rnacentral:rRNA from 1 species
GAUGAACGCUGGCGGCGUGCCUAAUACAUGCAAGUCGAGCGAACAGACGAGGAGCUUGCUCCUCUGACGUUAGCGGCGGACGGGUGAGUAACACGUGGAUAACCUACCUAUAAGACUGGGAUAACUUCGGGAAACCGGAGCUAAUACCGGAUAAUAUAUUGAACCGCAUGGUUCAAUAGUGAAAGACGGUUUUGCUGUCACUUAUAGAUGGAUCCGCGCCGCAUUAGCUAGUUGGUAAGGUAACGGCUUACCAAGGCAACGAUGCGUAGCCGACCCGAGAGGGUGAUCGGCCACACUGGAACUGAGACACGGUCCAGACUCCUACGGGAGGCAGCAGUAGGGAAUCUUCCGCAAUGGGCGAAAGCCUGACGGAGCAACGCCGCGUGAGUGAUGAAGGUCUUCGGAUCGUAAAACUCUGUUAUUAGGGAAGAACAAAUAUGUAAGUAACUAUGCACGUCUUGACGGUACCUAAUCAGAAAGCCACGGCUAACUACGUG